rnacentral:rRNA from 1 species
UAGGGAAUUUUCGUCAAUGGGCGCAAGCCUGAACGAGCGAUGCCGCGUGAGUGAAGAAGGCCUUCGGGUCGUAAAGCUCUGUUGCGGGGGAAAAAAGGACAGCAUCAGGAAAUGGGUGCUGACUGAUGGUGCCCCGCCAGAAAGUCACGGCUAACUACGUGCC